GUGGCACAUUGCCCAACAUUGACAUGUGUUAUGGAGAUACAUCUGAAACCCUGAAUUGAAAGCAUUUCCUCUGGGUCCUGGACCCUCCUUUGCUCAGGAGUUAUCUUCCAACAGAUCCCUAUUUUCAGAUGGUGUCGCUUCUGGCAGUCUGGUGCCUUUAGAUUUUUAACCAUUGCUCCCCAACUACACCGUCACUGCCUCACUUCCAUCUUCCUGAAGCAGUUCUGUCAACACCUGACAAAAACCUUGGCAGUAGUUAGACCUGACAGAUUCCCAGUCUUUGUGUCGGAGGAGUGGACUUGUGCGGUUGUGAAGAUGCCCGGACAUCAAUUCUCAUGACCCACUGGCGCAGCAGGGCCAUCCACAGGACACGCCCACAGUGCCGGAGGUGAGUGGCAGAGAAUGUGCUAUAAAACCUCAAAUAAACAAGCUCCUGAUCCCUCUCAGCAGAAUGCCAGCAACUAGAAGCAUAGUUUCCAAACCCUCCUGGAAAACAUCACAGGAUUUGAGUCUCUUUAUGUUGCCUCUGUUCCUGCAUGACAAGAGGUAGCGAGCAGGAUUACUCCGCUGGAGAUCUGGGUCAGUGCCUGAUAGACUGAAGCCGAGGAGAAAGCAAAGACUCCUCAUAGAAGAAGAGAUCUUAGAAACCUUUUGGAAGUUGGGCAGGAUGGUCUGGAGAAUUGUUGAACUGCAUACACAAGAAGAUACAAAAAUGAUAUGUUACUUUGCAGAUGCAAUACAGCAUUAAAGUCUAAAAAAAAUG